rnacentral:pre_miRNA from 1 species
UGGUGAUGAUGAUGAUGAUGAUGAUGAUGAUGUUGAUGAUGAUGAUUAUGAUGACGACUACGACGACGAAAGCGGCGGCGAUGUUAAUCAGUAGUCAUCGUCGUCGUCGUCUCCAUCACCAUCGUCGUCGUCGUCGUUGUCAUAUUCGUCAUCAUCAUCAUCAUCAUCAUCAUCAACGUUUUCA